rnacentral:rRNA from 1 species
AUCUCUGUAGAGUCUGCAUAUCAAUAAGCGGAGGAAAAGAAACUAACAAGGAUUCCCUUAGUAACGGCGAGUGAAGCGGGAAGAGCUCAAAUUUGAAAUCUUCAAGGUUCUACCUUGACGAAUUGUAGUUUAAAGAAGUGUUUUCUGUUAGAUGAGUAGCAAAAGUUCCUUGGAAUGGGACAUCAUAGAGGGUGAGAAUCCCGUAUUUGGUUAUUCAUUCUAGCUUUGUGAUACACUUUCAAAGAGUCGGAUUGUUUGGGAAUGCAGUCCAAAAUGGGUGGUAAAUUUCAUCUAAAGCUAAAUAUUGGCGAGAGACCGAUAGCGAACAAGUACCGUGAGGGAAAGAUGAAAAGAACUUUGAAAAGAGAGUUAAACAGUACGUGAAAUUGUCAAAAGGGAAGCGUUUGACACCAGUGUUGUUUUUCCGAAAAUCAAUUACGAAUGGCUUGAUUUUGUGUUGUAUUGACCUUAUCAGCUUUCUUCACUUUUUUCGAGUCUUUCUUAAUGCACUUUUCGGUUAACAAGUCAACAUCAAUUUCUUUUGUUGUAAAAGAGUAUUCGGAAGGUGGCUUUCUUUUCGGAGAAAGUGUUUAUAGCCCUAUACUUCUACAAUCGGAGAGAUUGAGGUCUGCAGCGUAGAUCCUUCGGGGUUAGAUACACUUGUGCUAAGUUGUAGCUUUUCAUAGACAACUUGUUGACUAUGUUUAGUCAUGCGGCUUACUCGCUUGUGCUAUUUUACCUACGCUUAGGAUGUUGACUGAUAUGUAGUCGUA